rnacentral:misc_RNA from 1 species
UCCGGUUUGUCACCGGCAGUCCCGCAUGAGUCCCCAACUUAAUGCUGGCAACAUGCGGCGAGGGUUGCGCUCGUUGCGGGACUUAACCCAACAUCUCACGACACGAGCUGACGACAGCCAUGCACCACCUGUGAUCCUGCCCCAAAGGGAAGCCGUGUUUCCACGGCGGUCAGGAACAUGUCAAGCCCAGGUAAGGUUCUUCGCGUUGCGUCGAAUUAAUCCACAUAAUCCACCGCUUGUGCGGGUCCCCGUCAAUUCCCUUGAGUUUUAACCUUGCGGCCGUACUCCCCAGGCGGUCAACUUCACGCGUUAGCUUCGUUACCAAGGAAUAACUUCCCCGACAACCAGUUGACAUCGUUUAGGGCGUGGACUAC